rnacentral:rRNA from 1 species
UACAGAGGGUGCGAGCGUUAAUCGGAAUUACUGGGCGUAAAGCGUGCGUAGACGGUUAUUUAAGUCGGGUGUGAAAGCCCCGGGCUCAACCUGGGAAUUGCAUUCGAGACUGAAUAGCUAGGGUACGGUAGAGGGAAGCGGAAUUUCCGGUGUAGCGGUGAAAUUCGUAGAUAUCGGGAGGAACACCGGUGGCGAAGGCGGCGACCUGGGUCGAUACUGACGCUGAUGCGCGAAAGCGUGGGGAGCAAACAGG